UCUAGACUCUUCAUGUCUCUCUCUUAUCCAUGCGAAAUCUUAGCUCUCAAUCGGUUCUCUUUCUCCUUUCCGGUGAGCGGUGUCGCAACCACCGUCGACGUAACCAGUACUCACAGCCUUGCUGGUACGCUCUAAAUAAGGAUCACUCAGCAGGAUUGUAAUUGGAUAAUGAUGAAUUGAAGGGUCGCACAAAAGUUGCACAAGGCUGUUGAUAUUUCCGAACUCUGGUUCUUGCUUGAUAAGACACACAAGUCUAACAAAAAGGAGGUUGUUUACUUGGACAUUACGCACCAUGUGAUGUGAUUAUAAUUUUAUAUUAGCAAUGGCCAAAGAAAGACUUAAAGUUUUGUGGAAAACUAGAAACUUAGAAAACACAAACAAAGAUUAAGACUUUUGACCAUAAAUAAGUGUGUUGUU